GCCCACCCGAACCGGCCGCGCGCAGCAGCGCAGCCCUCUGGGACCCCGCAGGCGCUGUCGCCGGAGGACAGGGAGCCAGAGACUCAGUCCUGCGCGCGCGCCUGCAGCGCGGACGCGGACGAGUGGGAGGCCUAUUGCGCCAGCGAAGAAGCAGGUAUAUUGUGAUGGGCCACAUCUACCAUAAGAGACGGCAGCUCCCCAGUGCGCUGCUCCAGGUCCUAAGGGGGCGCCUGCGUCCAGGAGACGGGCUGAUCCGGGGUAGCAGCAGCUACGUGAAGAGGUUUAACCGAAAGCGGGAGUGGCAAGUUCGAGGUGCCACCCACACCCAGUGCAUUUGAACUUGGCACUUGGGGUCGGUCUUCACGUGACGGGAAGCUUCUGUGAAACCGGGCUACCUUAUGGACUCCGUGUGCGGCUUAGCUGUCACUUUAUCUACAAAAUGCUGACAGGUGUGCUUCAGGACACUGUGCGAAAGUCCCUCGAGGGCAGUCAUGCACACAACCCAGACACCAGACCCCGUGGGCCAACAGAUCACACCAUUUUUGCUGUUUUUAAGUUAUUUUAAUUUAAUACAUUCCCCCCAGUGGAGACAGUUCACAAAACAGUUCUCGAAUUUAAAUAUACAACUUUGACUAGUAUCUAUCACGUGGUGUCAAGCCAGAUUUUGUAUUUAAAGCAUGGAGUUUUAAAUUCCACAUGCGGGAGUAAACACCCUGGUCAUUUACAUAUGAAAUGUCAUAUAGAUCAAACAGCAGCCAAGUGCAAAAACUAUUACAUUUCAAGGGCUAAUUCAAGCAAAACACCAUUCAAGGUGUGUUCCUGCUGUACCACACAAUACAAGCCCCUGUGUAUUGCCAUGCCUCCUUGCUCCCAGCAACCUGUUUUGUGCCAAACUGGCAUCGAUUCCAGGACGUUUUCUGGUGUAUCUGAUGCCAUUUUGAUGUUAAGACCUGGUAAUAUCAUGAUUGUGUUUGCAAAACAGUAAAUCUCGCUGUGAAAUC
rnacentral:lncRNA from 1 species